GGCAGUUGGGAAGUGUUGUGACAAGCAGAUAAAAGCUAUCAGCCCCCGGUUCCUCCAGGGGGUCUCCCAUCCAAAUCCCAACCAGCUCUGAACUUGCUUAGCUUCAGUGGUGGGUGGUCCUCAGACUGCUAUGGCACCCAGGAGCUAUCACCUCUGAUCCUCACAGAAAGAUCCCAGGUCAUGCAGUGGCGCAGGUGGGAGGGAAAUGGAAGGCCUGAGAGUCUAAGUCCUGUUGAAAGCAUUGUGACAAGCAGAAGAAAGCAGGAAAGGAUUGGGAAGCCAAAAGUCUCCAGCCCCUGGUGGUCUCCCAUCCAAGUCCCAGCCAGAGGGCUGCCCAGGCAGACAUGCACAGGGAAGUCCCAGUUCUUUGGGGAGGAGGCACAGGCAGGUGGGAAUGUGGGGGCCAGAGUCAGAGGGCAGUGGGAAGCAUUUUGACAAGUGGAAGAAAGCCAACAGAAAGCAGGAAGCCAAAAGCCUCUAGUACCUGGUCUUCUCAGGCUGUCACCAUCCAAUUCUCAGCCAGGCCUCUUCCUGCUUAGUUUCUGAGCUGGGGCACCGUCAGGCUGCUAUGGCACCCUGGGGUUGCCUGAACUGACCCCACACUGGAAGGUUUCCAGCCAUGACGGGGGCGCAGGCGAUUGGGAAAUAGCCAGUGAGUCAGGUGUCAGUUAGAAAGCCUUGUAAGAAGUGGGAAAGCAAGAAGGUACCAGGCUGUAGUUGAGGCACAAGCCAGAGGAAAAGGGGAGCCAGAGAAUCAGGGGGUUUUGGAUAGGGUUGCAACAAGCGGCGGAAAGUGGAAAGGGAGCAGGAAGCCAAAAGCCUCCAGUUGCUGUCUUUCCAGGUGGACCCCAUACAAACCCCAGACAGGCCGACCCUGCUUAGCUUCUGAACCAGGGCACCCUUAGGCUGCUAUGGCACCCAGAGGCCCUGGACCGCAGCAAAGGAGCAGCCAGAUGAGAAAGGGAAAACCAGAGUCAGGGGCCCCAGUGAAGCAUUUUGAAAAACAAGGGAAAACAGUAAGAGAGCAGGAAGCCAAACACCUGGAGCCACCAGACUUUCCAGGCGGUCCUCAAGGCAAGCUUUACCCAAACCUGACACUGCUUUGCUUCCAGGCUGGGGUGCCCUCAGACUGCUAUGGCUACUGGGUGCUGCUGGGACAGACCCCCACCAGGAGGUCCAGGGCUAUGGCGGGGACACAUGCAUGCGGGAAAGGGGGAGGCAGAGAGUCAGGGUGUGGUUGGAAAGUGUUACUACAAGUGGGGGAAAGUGGGAAGGGAGAGAAAAGCCAAAAGCCUCCAGCCCAGGGACUUUCCAGGAGUUCCCCUAUCCAAGCCCCAGCCAGGUCCUACCCUGCUUAGCUUCUGGACAGAGGCACCCUCAGGCUGCUAUGAAAGCAAAGGUCUGCCAAGACAGACCCCCACAGGGAUAUCCCAGGUGGAGGCAGGAGCACUGGCGGUUGGGAAAGUGAGGAGAGAGUCAGGGUGUUGUUGAAAAGUGUUGUAACAGCAAGAGAAAGCAAAAAGAGAGCAGGAAGCUGAAAGUCUCCAGUCCCCUGUAUCCCCAGUCUGGCCCCUUUUCAAGCCCUAGCCAGGCUCGACUCUGCUUACCUUCCAGGCUGUGGCGCCUAAAGCCUACUGUGGCACACAGGGGCUGCUGAGGCAAACCCACUCAGGGAAGUCUCUGCUGCAGCGGAGGCAUAGGCAAUGGGAAAGAUGGGACAGAGAGUCAGGGGGCUGUUGGGAAGCAUUGGGACAAGCGGGGGAACGCUUGAAAAAGCUUGAAAAAGCCAAAAAAGCAAAAGCCUUCAGCCCCCGGUCUUACCAGGCAGUCUCCAAUCCAAGCCCCAGCCAGGCCCAACCCUGUUUACCUUCUGGGCUGUGUUGCUCCAGACCUGCUAUGGAGCCUGGGGUCUGCCAAGAUAAACCCAUACAAGGAGGUCCCAGGCCUUGGCAGGGGAGUAGCCAAGAGGGAAAGGGGAUAUAGAGAGUCAGGAGGCAGUUGGGAAGCUUUGGAACAAGCCGGGGAAAGCUUGAAGAAGGUGAAAAGGUAAAAGCCUCCAGCCCACCAUCUAUCCAAGGGGUCUCCCAUCUAAGACCCCACCAGGCCCAACCCUGCUUAGCUUCCAGGACCCCACCCACCAGCAUUGUGGCAGCAGCUGGGAACUUCUCCCUGGGGUUUGAUUUGUAAGGACCUGUGGGCCAUAGCAAGCUGAGGGCGCCAUGACCAGAAAGCUAAGCAGCUUCGAGCUUGACUGAGGCUUGGACGGGGGACCUCCUGGGGAGACCGGACCUGGAGGCUUUUGGGUUUCUAGCUUUCUGUUUUUUCACCCCGCUUCCUCUGUCCCCCUCCUCCGCUUCCCCACCUUGUCACAACUAUUCUCUACCGCCCCGUGAUGGCUGGCUGGAGUGAGCCGUCCCCUGGUGCCACCCCUUCUCAUGGUGUCAUCAACCCUCGCCACCCUCUCUUGCGUGAUGUCAAACUUCAUGCCAUCUCAAAUGAUGUCAUUCUCCCUGGCAGCCACUUGUAAUGACAUCAUAAUCCCUCCCCACCCUCUGGGACCACGCCCCGUGGAAUAUGCAAAUGAGCAUGAAAAAAUACCACCAGAGCCCCCUCCUCUUUGCCCUGAUCCUAAAUCCCACCCUCAUUUGCAAAUAUGUGAAUGAGCAUGCAUGCAUGCAAAUUAGCAUGCAAAUUAUCAAACAAAAGCACACCCUCUCCUGAACCUCAACCCUAACCUGAGAUUGGAACCCAUGACCUGCCUAUUCCUACACUUACACCCUAUCCACUGAGCUAGCUGGCUGCCUCGCCACCUGACUUGGCCAGUUUUUGGAUUGUACGCCAGCCUCUUUCUGCAGGAUGUAAUCUCAGUGACUUUGAGUUCAAUCGGUCCUAUAAAUUGCUAUCCCUAUUUAUGCAGUGUGUUUUCCCCUACAUGAGGCAUUUGUGAGCUCCAUUAGCACUGAUAGGAUUUUUUUUUUUUUUGAGACGGAGUUUCCCUCUUGUUACCCAGGCUGGAGUGCAAUGGCACGAUCUCGGCUCACCGAAACCUCCGCCUCCUGGGUUCAGGCAAUUCUCCUGCCUCAGCCCCCGGAGUAGCUGGGAUUACAGGCACAUGCCACCAUGCCCAGAUAAUUUUUUAUAUUUUUAGUAGAGACGGGGUUUCACCAUAUUGACCAGGAUGGUCUCGAUCUCUUGAACUCGUGAUCCACCCGCCUCAGCCUCCCAAAGUGCUGGGAUUACAGGCUUGAGCCACCGCGCCCGGCCAGCACUGAUAGAAUUUUUAAAUGUAGAAGCAGCGGCGAAGGGAGCAACAUUUUGCAGCUAUAGGGCACUGGCCUUCUUUGAGAUAAAAUCCCACUCUGGCACCAAUGGCAUGGGAACUAUUCUGUGUCUUUUUACCUGAGAGCUCUUCAAUUAACUGAUGAUGACACCUGCACAACUGCUAAGAGAUCCGCUAAGGGGGAGCCUGGCCCAGCCAUCCCUUCUUUGUGGUCACAGCAUGAACAGCUCUGAGACUUCCCCUUUCCUCAGUGUCCCCUUACAGCGCUUUCUGACCACCGGGGUCUUUGUCCCACCACCCAACUGUGCAGCUCAUCUGGCCAUGCACCUCUCCAGCUCAAAACUGUUUUCUCCCUGUUGUUUGUAUGAAACCGGGUUCCAGCCCUAAAGCACCAUCUGCACAGCCUCUGCCACAGCUCUGGUGAGCCUUGUGGCCAGCUCCUGGUGACAGCCUGUGCCCCUCUACUCUGAGAAGGUCUCCUUCUCCUCUCUGUCUGCCAUGUACAGAGACGACUUUCAGGACCACCCCAAAGGAGAGUGGCCUCUCUCCUCAACCCCAGGAGGAUGGCCUCUCAUGUGCCUCUCACUCAUCUGACUCCUAUGGCAGACCUGAGGCCAAGACCAUGUCCAGCAUGGAGCAGGAACCAAGGCCAUGUCAUCUCCUAAAUUAUGGCCACUCCACUACUGGGUAUAUUGAAGCCUGAAGAGCUGGAAAAAUGUAAGUGCUUCCACAGUUCUUGUGAGUGGCUGAAUUUGAGCCCAGGUCAUCUGAUUCCAAGGCAGCAUAGAUGCAACACCUGCCUCACGCAGGACGGCUGGGAAACCUGGGCCGUCUUUUAACUGUUGGAGAAAUAAAAGCUAACACUCAUGUGCAAGGAACUAUCAACACAUGUGAAGAGGAAAGGGACAGAAGGCACCAGAGGAAUUAAGAAAAGAUAUUUCUUCUAAAAGGCAACUGAGAUGUAAGUGAAAGCUGAAAAAUCUCUCCAGGACUGCACUUCAGUGAACCAUUUAGUGAACAAAAAACAGAGGUCAAGGGUAAAAAUCCCAAGAAAGGACUAGAAGAAGCAUCCCAGCAAGAAGGCUCAGGGGUGCAGCUACCAGCCAGUAUCCCUGAAGGUGUCCCUACAGGAGAGUUGCAAGUUGAGUUCUGAAUGCAACAGUAUUUGAAAGUGUCCAACACCAAGGGAAAGAAAGACAAGAGACAACUUCACAGCUGAGGAUGUGGAAGCCCUGAGACCUCAAAGGUCGCAUGCAGCUGGUGUUGGAGGCAGGCCCCGGAGGAGCUGGGGGGAACAAACAGGAAACGACAGGUCCAGACUGACUCCUGGGCCUGGGUGGCCUUGAGGGACCUGGGUGCUCUUCAAGAACCUCCCUCUUUUGAUGAGACUGGUGUGUUAGGGGUGUCCUGUGUAAACAAACUGUGAGGGCACUGGAAACUCUAGGAUCAGGCCAGCUUCCCACAGCCAUUACCUAUCGGGGCAGCUAUGGGGUCUGCCGCAGCACCUCCUGUUGAGGAUUGGUCUGAGCCCAUCCACCACAGCCACUGCUGGUGCCCGGAAUUCACCUCAGGGGUGUGUUCUUUUCUUUUAUCUUUCUUUUUUGCUUUCUUUCUCUAUUUUUGUCACAAAUCUCAGUCUUUUUAAGAUAUGAUUGCCAUAUAAAAAGUUGUACUGGUUAGUCCUGUUGCUGCUUCUCCAGCAGUCUUUUCCCAUGGAAGAGUCUUCCAAAAUCAGCUGACUCACUGUAUAAAUGCAUGCCCCAACCACAUGCCAUCCAUAUAAAGAACACUGUGACCACACUGCCUUUCAAUUGUCUUCUGCUGUAGAUCCAGCUUUCAGCUCUUUCUUGCUCUGUGGUUCUGCAGGAGACAUAACCAGAGUUCCUGGUGGCAGAGAGUUGGCCAGAACAGAGGAAUGUAGGAGGCAGGUUAGUCUUGGGAGAAAGUGAUCAGUUGCCAGACUGAUUAGAAAUUGGAUCUUACGUUAGGUUUGACCCAAGAAUUGAGAUUCACAGGACAAUCUCUGCAGACCAUUUUCUGCUGUGAAGUCUGAGAUGAAAUGAAGAUUACUGGACAACGAAAGUUGAAAAAUGCCUGAUAACGCAGCCCAUUUGGAAGGUGCAGAGUUUGGAGAUCCCUAGAAACCAGAUGAUGAAAAGCAUGGCUCCUCAGGCAAGGCGCUUCCUCUGCAGCUGCUGUGGCCCUGGCUGGCUGGCAUCGAUUACCCGAGGAGAGUGCAGUGAUCUCACACCCCUCCCCAACACCAGUGUGACCCCACCCAGACUCCCACAACCUCAGACUUGAAUUGGAGGUUGGGGGGGUUAGGGUAACAGGGAAGAAGACACAUGGCCUGUUCUCGAACAUAGAAUGUGAACUCUGUAACACAGACUGUCUCUCAUAAGGCCCUUUCCAGCUCAAACAGCAAGGCGCAGACAGCUUGCUCUUGUGCCUAACAGAGAGCCUUCUUUCUGAAGACUGGAGAAAGAGCUCCAGUGAGAUUUACUGUGAGGUACUGGUUCAAGUAACUGUGAAAGCUGUAAAGUCCCACAGCCUGGCAUCUGCAAGGUGAAGAUCCAGGAAAGCCCAUGGCUUCAUUCGAAAAAGCCCGAAAGCCGGAAAGUCAAGGGCAAGAGAAAACUGGUGUUCCAGCCCCAUUUUCGGGCAGAGAGGGAAUUCAAUCUUCCUCCACCUUUUGCUCUCUUCUGGCCUGCGGAGGAUUGGACGAGGCCAGCCCAUGAUCUUCACUCAGUCCACUGAUUCAAACGCUCAUCUCCUCCAGAAACAUCCUCAUAGACACACCCAGAAAUCAUGCUUUAACAGCCAUCUGAGCGUCUCAUGGCCCAGUUAAGUUGACACAUAAAAUUAUCACAUAAAAACACACCUUCAGAUUCAGGUCAUUUUUGAAUGCCUAAGUAUGAUGUUCUAUGAGGUAUUAGAAUGAAUACAUCCUUGUUUAAUUUCCAUAGUAGAAUAUGUAAAGUAAUAUUUUAUUUGUCUUAAAUAUGUCUUUAAUAUAAAUAUAUUAUGUUCUAUCAUUUGAUAGUAUUUUGUGGUUUCAAUUCAGUCCAACCUAAUGUAACUAUAAAAAAUAUAUUGAAAAGUUACAGGAAAGGAAAACUAAGAUAGAUGCAGCCUUGACUUGCAAGAUUUUACAAAUUAGGAAGAAAUACAUGUGCACAGACGGUCUUGAUACAGACAAUGCUUGUCAGAGUAUUCUGAGGAAGGUCAUUCCAAAACAGCUCUGAUCAUGAAAAAUGUCCAAGGUCUCCACAUUGUCUGCAAGAGAAGACCAAACCCCACAGGCCUUCCUACAGAGACAUUUGCCAUCAGAAUUCAUUUUCCCUCUUCAUCUUCUGUUUCCUCCUAACCUACAUUCAGGACCCUUGAAUAGCCACCCACUCACAGAUUUCUCAAAAAUGAUGUUCUCCCAUGUGUCCUUGUGUGUUUAACGUGAUUUCUUUACCCUAGAAUUCUUGUUUUCUUUUCUACCCUGAGCAUUCAUCAAAACUUACUUAAAUGUCAACUCCCUGCUCAGCAUCCCCCGCUUCUCCAGGCAGGGUUUGUCUUUUCCUCUCUGGCACUUCAUGGACACAUUGUGUGUACCUAUUACAGAUUUUCAAUACAAAAUUACAAUGAUUCAUUUACUCAUCUGCUUUGCUUGACUGAGAAAUCCUCGGGCCUGGCCCCUCUACUCACCUGAAGUUCCCUGAGGAGCCUGGGUGCACCCUAAAGAUGAGAGGUAGGAGACUGGGGUGAGCGCAUGGGUGAAGGGGCCUCAGGAGCAGCCUUGUUUCUCCCUCUUUGAUAUUACAAGUAAUAUAUCUCCCUAAGAUAUUACAAAUAAUAUCACAAAGUGUUCAAACAUACUCUACACUGGCUACAACAUUCAGAGUAGUAUCUCUUUAAAAUAUACACCCAUAUCAACCCGACGGUAAUAUUCGGAGUAAUAUCCUUAAAAUGUACACCCACAUCAAUCACCCGCCAUAGGGUGAGUAACAUCACCCGGGUUCCACCUGAAUAUUAUGAACCAUAUCACAGAGGAGU